CGUACGAGUUGCCAGGGGGUGGUGCCCUUGAGAUCGUGGCUUCCGGAGCUAACGCGUUAAAUCGACCGCCUGGGGAGUACGGCCGCAAGGUUAAAACUCAAAUGAAUUGACGGGGGCCCGCACAAGCGGUGGAGCAUGUGGUUUAAUUCGAUGCAACGCGAAGAACCUUACCUGCUCUUGACAUCCAGAGAACUUUCCAGAGAUGGAUUGGUGCCUUCGGGAACUCUGAGACAGGUGCUGCAUGGCUGUCGUCAGCUCGUGUUGUGAAAUGUUGGGUUAAGUCCCGCAACGAGCGCAACCCUUAUCCUUUGUUGCCAGCGGUUCGGGCGGGAACUCAAAGGAGACUGCCAGUGAUAAACUGGAGGAAGGGGGGGAUGACGUCAAGUCAUCUUGGCCCUUACGAGUAGGGCUACACACGUGCUACAAUGGCAUAUACAAAGAGAAGCGACCUCGCGAGAGGAAGCGAACCUCAUAAAGUAUGUCGUAGUCCGAAUUGGAGUCUGCAACUCGACUCCUUGAAGUCGAAAUCGCUAGUAAUCGUAAAUCAAAAUGCUACGGGAAAUACGUUCCCGGGCUUUGUACACCCCCCCCGUCCCCCCAUGGGAGGGGGUUGCAAAAAAAAGAAGGUAGUUUAACCUUCGGGGAGGGCCGCUUACCCCUUGUGGGAUUCAUGACUGGGGGGGGAAGUCGUAACAAGGAAACCGGAAAC
rnacentral:rRNA from 1 species